rnacentral:rRNA from 1 species
GACGAACGCUGGCGGCGUGCCUAAUACAUGCAAGUUGAGCGCUGAAGGUUGGUACUUGUACCGACUGGAUGAGCAGCGAACGGGUGAGUAACGCGUGGGGAAUCUGCCUUUGAGCGGGGGACAACAUUUGGAAACGAAUGCUAAUACCGCAUAAAAACUUUAAACACAAGUUUUAAGUUUGAAAGAUGCAAUUGCAUCACUCAAAGAUGAUCCCGCGUUGUAUUAGCUAGUUGGUGAGGUAAAGGCUCACCAAGGCGAUGAUACAUAGCCGACCUGAGAGGGUGAUAGGCAACAUUGGGACUGAGACACGGCCCAAACGCCUACGGGAGGCAGCAGUAGGGAAUCUUCGGCAAUGGACGAAAGUCUGACCGAGCAACGCCGCGUGAGUGAAGAAGGUUUUCGGAUCGUAAAACUCUGUUGGUAGAGAAGAACGUUGGUGAGAGUGGAAAGCUCAUCAAGUGACGGUAACUACCCAGAAAGGGACGGCUAACUACGUGCCAGCAGCCGCGGUAA